rnacentral:rRNA from 1 species
GACGAACGCUGGCGGCGUGCCUAAUACAUGCAAGUCGAACGCAUUUUCUUUCACCGUAGCUUGCUACACCGAAAGAAAAUGAGUGGCGAACGGGUGAGUAACACGUGGGUAACCUGCCCAUCAGCGGGGGAUAACACUUGGAAACAGGUGCUAAUACCGCAUAAUUCCAUUUACCGCAUGGUAAAUGGAUGAAAGGCGCUUUUGCGUCACUGAUGGAUGGACCCGCGGUGCAUUAGCUAGUUGGUGGGGUAACGGCCUACCAAGGCUGCGAUGCAUAGCCGACCUGAGAGGGUGAUCGGCCACACUGGGACUGAGACACGGCCCAGACUCCUACGGGAGGCAGCAGUAGGGAAUCUUCGGCAAUGGACGCAAGUCUGACCGAGCAACGCCGCGUGAGUGAAGAAGGUUUUCGGAUCGUAAAACUCUGUUGUUAGAGAAGAACAAGGAUGAGAGUGGAAAGUUCAUCCCUUGACGGUAUCUAACCAGAAAGCCACGACUAACUACGUG